UUGAGGCCCUUGCAUGCUGAUGAAAAUAACACGUAUGAAAAAAUUAAUCACAAUACCAGAUAGUAUAUUCUCAGUACCAAGUCAGCGGCAUAGACAGAAAAUGCUCUAGGAGCUCAAAGAAGAGAGUGAUCACUAAGAGCAGCUAUCAUCAGGGAAGGCUUCCUGGGGGAGACAAUUCAAACUUUUAACACUGCUGACCACACCUGCCAAGUGGACAACACUAUAGUUUUAGAUAGCUGAAGUCAAUCUGUUGGGCAAUCAGCCACCUUCACCAAGGGAUUAAAGGAGCUCCCUCUCCCCAAAUCUCCCUCACUCUCUCCUCAUGGAUACACUCUCAUCCCUUGGCUUCCAUGAUAUUUUCCUUUUGUUGAGUCUCCUUGGCUGAGUCAUCAUCCAUCUUCUGUCCUCUAGAUUCUAUCCUGGAUUUUCUUCUCUUCUGUUACCACACUUUCUCCAUUAAUGGUUUGAAUUUAUCAUGGAAUGUGAUAUAAGAUGUUAUCCUAAGCCUAAAUUUCUACUAGAAUGAUUUCCACUUUCCCCAGAAGUUCCUUCAAGAGACUGUUUCAUCAGUGAACGAGCUGCUUGUUCCAGUAACAUAACCUUCAUCCAGCCGACUAUUUGAUGUUUUGUAGAAUGAGCAAAUUUUUUUGACAUAGAAGAGUAAUGAAAGAUCCUUCCUUCUUCCCUUCCUUCUGAAGGAGGAAAAUCUUGAAACCAGAAGGAGA